rnacentral:rRNA from 1 species
CCUACGGGAGGCUGCAGUGGGGAAUCUUCCGCAAUGGGCGAAAGCCUGACGGAGCAACGCCGCGUGGGUGAAGAAGGUCUUCGGAUCGUAAAGCCCUGUUGCCCGGGACGAACGCCCCCGGCGCGAACAGCGCCGGGGGGUGACGGUACCGGGCGAGGAAGCCACGGCCAACUACGUGCCAGCAGCCGCGGUAAUACGUAGGUGGCGAGCGUUGUCCGGAAUCAUUGGGCGUAAAGGGAGCGCAGGCGGGCAUGCAAGUCCAUCUUAAAAGCGCGGGGCCCAACCCCGCGAGGGGAUGGAAACUGCGUGCCUUGAGUGCAGGAGAGGAAAGCGGAAUUCCCAGUGUAGCGGUGAAAUGCGUAGAUAUUGGGAGGAACACCAGUGGCGAAGGCGGCUUUCUGGACUGCAACUGACGCUGAGGCUCGAAAGCCAGGGGAGCGAACGGGAUUAGAUACCCGAGUAGUC